rnacentral:rRNA from 1 species
GACGAACGCUGGCGGCGUGCCUAAUACAUGCAAGUCGAACGCAGUGGGGACGGGUGAGUAACACGUGGGUAACCUCCCAUCAGAGGGGAUAACACUUGGAAACAGGUGCUAAACCGAUACUGAUGGAUGGUACCUCGGUGGAUUAGCUAGUUGGUGAGGUAACGGCUCACCAAGGCCACGAUGCAUAGCCGGCCUGAGAGGGUGAUCGGCCACACUGGGACUGAGACACGGCCCAGACUCCUACGGGAGGGAGCAGUAGGGAAUCUUGGGCAAUGGGCGAAAGUCUGACCCAGCAACGCCGCGUGAGUGAAGAAGGUUUUCGGAUCGUAAAGCUCUGUUGUUAGGGAGGCGGUACCUACCCAGAAAGCCACGGCUAACUACGUGCCAGCCGCCGCGGUAAUAC